GCCGGAAGCCACAUCACCCUGCAACUCACAACUGGCAACCCACUGAAACUAAGCAGGUGUGAGCCUGGUAAGUACCUGGAUGGGAGACCUCCUGGGAAAAACUAAGGUUGCUGCUGGAA
ensembl:rRNA 5S_rRNA 5S ribosomal RNA